rnacentral:rRNA from 1 species
UACGUAGGGUGCAAGCGUUAAUCGGAAUUACUGGGCGUAAAGCGUGCGCAGGCGGUUAUGUAAGACAGAUGUGAAAUGCCCGGGCUUAACCUGGGAACUGCAUUUGCGACUGCAUGGCUAGAGUGUGUCAGAGGGGGUAGAAUUCCACGUGUAGCAGUGAAAUGCGUAGAUAUGUGGAGGAACACCGAUGGCGAAGGCAGCCCCCUGGGAUAACACUGACGCUCAUGCACGAAAGCGUGGGGAGCAAACAGG